rnacentral:rRNA from 1 species
AUUGAACGCUGGCGGCAUGCUUUACACAUGCAAGUCGAACGGCAGCGCGGGCUUCGGCCUGGCGGCGAGUGGCGAACGGGUGAGUAAUGCAUCGGAACGUGCCCAGUAGUGGUGGAUAGCCCGGCGAAAGCCGGAUUAAUACCGCAUACGACCUGAGGGUGAAAGCGGGGGACCGAAAGGCCUCGCGCUAUUGGAGCGGCCGAGGUCGGAUUAGCUAGUUGGUGGGGUAAAGGCUUACCAAGGCGACGAUCCGUAGCUGGUCUGAGAGGACGACCAGCCACACUGGGACUGAGACACGGCCCAGACUCCUACGGGAGGCAGCAGUGGGGAAUUUUGGACAAUGGGGGCAAACCUGAUCAAGCCAUGCCGCGUGCGGGAAGAAGGCCUUCGGGUUGUAAACCGCUUUUGUUGGGGAAGAAAUCCUCUGGGCUAAUACCCCGGGGGGAUGACGGUACCGGAAGAAUAAGCACCGGCUAACUACGUG